rnacentral:misc_RNA from 1 species
GUAGGUGAACCUGCGGAAGGAUCAUUACCGAGCGUAGGGUGCGUCUAGCCCCGAAACUCCCUACCCCGUGCGUUACAACACCCCGUUGCUUCGGCGGGUCCGCCUCCUCUCCCGGGAAGGGCGGCUCGCCGGAGGACCGUUUCCGAAACCCUCGCGAAAACCCUUACCUUUCGGAGUCUUACCACCGCGCGCCGGUGGCUUGAGAAAUCAAACAAAAACUUUCAACAACGGAUCUCUUGGUUCUGGCAUC